UCAGAUUAGAUCAGUCACCUGCUGUAAUAAAGAGACCGCAGGAAAAAAUGAAGAUCUCCUGUAAAAUAUCUGGCUUUGCUAUGACAAGCUAUUACAUGCACUGGAUAAGACAGAAACCAGGGAAAGCUCUGGAGUGGAUUGGGAGAAUUAACUCAGGCCAUAGUGGUGUUACAGUCUCGAUGAAAAGUCACUUCACUUUGAGUGAAGAUGUGUCUGCAAGUACACAGUAUCUUGAAGCCAAGAGUCUGAGAGAAGAGGACACUGCUGUUUAUUACUGUGCUAGAAGACACAGUGACUAUGGCUAUUCUUUUGACUACUGGGGAAAAGGAACGAUGGUAACUGUAUUGUCAGCUCAGCAAUCAGCACCACAGUAUGUCUUUGGCCUUUCUGAAUGUGGAUCCGGUUCCGAUGGCUUCCUGACUGUCGGCUGCAUUGCAAAAGGUUUCUCGCCCGCGGACUCGCUCACUUUCAAAUGGACAGAUCCUAAAGGACAAAAAGUGAAUGAUUUUGUGCAGUAUCCAACAAUCGGACGCGAGGGAGAUUACACCAAAAUCAGCCAUCUGCGUGUGAAGAAAAGCGACUAUACUCCUGAUAAACCUUACAAAUGCGAAGCCGAAAAUGCUGUCGCCAAAAAGGAAGCAGUUGUUGCUCCAAGACGUACAUCUAUGCAUCCUGUGUGUCAACCAUUGCUCAGACUGACCCUAAAGCCACCAAUCCAGAAAGACAUAUUUAUCUUUAAAAAAGUAAUCUUGCAAGCUGUUAUUUCUGGAAAUGAAAACAAAGCAGUGAAAGAUGCUGAAGUGUCAUGCAAAGUGGAAAAUGACCCCGCCGAAGUAGUUUAUAGCAGCAGUUCAGAGUUUGAGAAAAUCUACGAUGUCACUGUUGAUAUAAACAAAUGGUUUGAAGGCAAAAUGGUCACCUGUACCAGUGACAAAAAAAUUGUGGAAAAGAUUCAUUUUACAAAGGGAGAGGAACAACCUAGUGUUGUAAUUUACGAACAAAGAACUCACAGCAAAGACCAUGUCUCUCUGGUGUGUGAGGUCAACAGCCCUCAACUUGGUGAUGUUUAUAUCAUGUGGAAAGUAGAUAAUGGAGAAUAUAAAGAGGGUUAUACCAGUGCUCCAAUCCGUUGCAAGGACUCCACAUCUGUCAUCAGCAUUUUUAAAAUGGAAGUAAAACAAUAUGAAGAAUCCCAAUCCUUCUCCUGCUCUGUCAGGCAUGCCAACUUGAAGAUUACAGAUACACCAUAUACAAAACCAAUAAAUAAGCCUCCAGAACCGGAGACAGGCAACGCAUUGCACUGUAAUGAAGAUGUUUUGGAGGAGGAUGAGUUCAGAAGUCUCUGGUCUACUGCAACCUCAUUCAUCUUCCUCUUCCUCUUUUCUUUGACAUACAGUGCUCUUAUCAGCCUGUCUAAGAUGAAGCAGUGAGAAAUUUAAAAACGAAGACUCAAAUGUUAUUUAUGAUCAUUGUUAUAAUUAUUAGAUUUUUGGAAGGAAAAACACUUUCUUCUCUAUCUUGUUUUGUGUUUGUUUAUCAUUAUUAAAUAUGUUAGCUGAUUGGGAUUUUAAAAUGACAUAACUUCUGUCUUGAAGGAUAUUG